rfam:Gossypium raimondii scaffold_810_contig_3, whole genome shotgun sequence.
GGGUGCGAUCAUACCAGCACUAAUGCACCGGAUCCCUUCAGAACUCCGCAGUUAACCGUGCUUGGGCGAGAGUAGUACUAGGAUGGGUGACCUCCUGGGAAGUCCUCGUGUUGCACCCC